GUUGUGAUGGGGUUUGAUGCUGGCAGCCAAUUUUUGGAUGCAUGUGCUUGCCCUAACAAUCAUCUUCCAAACACCUGUGCACAUUUUUGAGGGAGUUUCGAGUUUGAUUGCCGUUUUUGGUGAUUUUCUUGCAUUCCCUUGAAUUAUUAUACGCUGUUAACAAUGAUGAACGUGCUCUGUGCCGCAAGGCCAUUAAUAUAAUACAACUUUUAACAACGGAUCUCUUGGCUCUCGCAUCGAUGAAGAACGCAGCGAAAUGCGAUAAGUAAUGUGAAUUGCAGAAUUCAGUGAAUCAUCGAAUCUUUGAACGCACCUUGCGCUCCCUGGUAUUCCGGGGAGCACGCCUGUUCGAGUGUCGCGAAAUUUCUCAAGCUUGGAUGGCUUUUUUGUCUGUCCUUAGCCUUGGUUGUUGGGCUUUGCCGUGUCCUUUGUUGGGACGGCUGGCCUUAAAAGCAUUAGCUGAUCCUCGUGUGGCACUGGUUCUACUCAGCGUGAUAACAGUCUGAUCGCUGAGGACAUCUUUUGGGAUGGCCAGUUCUCAUUUGGGUUGCUUCCAAACUUGGUUUUGCAGAUUCUUCAAUCUGUGUUCCACUUUUCAGCUUUGACCUCGAAUCNNNNGGGACUANCCNCUGAACUUAAGCAUAUCAAUAAGCGGAGGAA
rnacentral:rRNA from 1 species